rnacentral:misc_RNA from 1 species
AGUUGCUACUGGCUUCACUUAUCUGGGUCCUAAGUUUAUGAAAGAAAAUGGGCUGGAGCAUGUGACAUUUUCAACUGCUGAUGGAGCAUUGGAAGCUGCUCCUGCACCUGCGAUGGGAAUUGCUGAUGCUAUUUUGGACCUUGUAAGUAGUGGAACAACACUGAGAGAAAACAACCUGAAAGAAAUUGAAGGUGGAGUUGUAUUGGAGAGCCAGGCUGUUCUUGUUGCUAGCAGGAAAUCCUUGAUGCAACAGAAGGGUGCGCUGGACACAACACAUGAGAUUCUUGAGAGGCUGGAGGCACAUUUGCGGGCAAUUGGUCAGUUCACGGUGACUGCA